rnacentral:rRNA from 1 species
CUGGCGGCGUGCCUAACACAUGCAAGUCGAGCGAGGAGAUCCCUUCGGGGAUGAACCUAGCGGCGGACGGGUGAGUAACACGUGGGCAACCUGCCUUAUAGAGGGGAAUAGCCUUCCGAAAGGAAGAUUAAUACCGCAUAACAUUACAUUUUCGCAUGAAGAAGUAAUUAAAGGAGUAAUCCGCUAUAAGAUGGGCCCGCGGCGCAUUAGCUAGUUGGUGAGGUAACGGCUCACCAAGGCGACGAUGCGUAGCCGACCUGAGAGGGUGAUCGGCCACAUUGGGACUGAGACACGGCCCAGACUCCUACGGGAGGCAGCAGUGGGGAAUAUUGCACAAUGGGGGAAACCCUGAUGCAAGCAACGCCGCGUGAGUGAUGAAGGUCUUCGGAUCGCAAAGCUCUGUCUUCAGGGACGAUAAUGACGGUACCUGAGGAGGAAGCCACGGCUAACUACGUGCCAGCCGCCGC